GUCUGGGGCGGGUGAUGUUACAACAUCAGUUGGCAUCACAAGUGGACAUAGAUGGCAAGGGCUCAGGAACAGAAAGUUCUUUUCCUUCUUAAUGCCUGUUCUUUUUAGUGCUCUAUUUUUCCUAAUAUCUUCUUUUUGGAUAGAGCAACAGAGCUAUCUGCUGGCUUACAAAGGCCAAGUUACUUGGGUCAAAGACAAGAGAGAUGAUCAGAUACCAAAUAUGUGUGUGUGCAUAAGAGAGAGAGAGACAGAGACAGACAGAAUUAGAGAUUUGGGGACCAGGCAAAGAAGGUGACUCGGCGAUGAAGAUAGGGAGGUAUGUUUGAGUGAUAAAGGGAUUGUAUGACUCCGUGGCCAUGUUGGAGCUGGAGAGACUUCAUCACACCUUAAUCGUAUGACUUUUGUAAGCUGCUUAAGCUCUACACGCCUUGGUGUCUUCAUGUAUUUCAGGUAACAGAUACACUAAUUGUUUUUACAUCGUCACGUGCUGCUGCCGAUCAUCAUCCUAAUUACUCUAAUCACGUCAGGCUGCAAGAUGAACUUUUCAAAGCUUUUCCUUCCAGUGUUCUCUCUCUCUUUCUGACCAUGUCGGUUUAGUACAUGGCUCGGCCUCACCCUGUUUGAUGUUAGGAGCAUCCCAAAUAGCAGGAUAUUUUGGCAAAUCCAUGCCUUUAUUACUAACAAGUGUACAUUUGGGAAAAGUUGCUACUUGCAACUGUGGAAAAUGUGUCAACUAAUAGAUCCAGAAACGCAGUUUUGAAGGCUCUUGGUUUCUUUCUACCUGUGGUCACUGUUAGCACUCUUUCACUAAGUUCUUAAGCCUUUCAAGAAAUGAUGAAACAUAAAUAUUCACUCCUUGAUGUUGUGGGCAAAAAUAACUACUGCAACCAUCAAAUGUGCAUUGCAUGUAAAAAUUACUAUAUAUUAAAGCUGACCUCAAUAAUACAAUUUCACUGUCAGGUCUCAAUGAAGCUUGGGAGAGCUUUUUGUUUGGGAUUUUUAAUGACAUAUUUUCCUUCCAAAGAUAGGAGCCCUUCAUUUUGCUUAUAGCCUGUAGCUGUGUGAGUAGGUACAGGAGGAUUGUUACUUCAGGAUGAAAGUUGGCUGGUGAUUAAUUCACAAACAAUAUUUUCCUGUUAAUACAGGUAUGUUCCUAUUAAUACAGCUAUGGACGUAUGUGGGCCAAUCGUUCCUUAAAGUGUUUGUUAAGUAUGUCAAGAGUGAGGCUUUGUGGCCUCAUUCAGUGUAUCCCCAGUAUAGCCGUAAUUUCAAGCCCUAAGUCUCUCUUGAAUUAUGCUUGGCCUCACAGUUGGCUUCAACACAGUUGAAUAAUUUCAUAUAUGUGCGCCUCAUAUGUAUGCUCUUUGUAGAUUGAUGAUAUAUCUUGGGUAAAAUUCACAAUUCAUUGCUCAUGGUAUUUUUUUGAGUUCCAGAAACAUGAGCUGGGAAGUUAAUUUUCUAGUUUUUAAGGGAAAACAACACCCACAGAGGCUAGUAAUGAUGACCUCAGAGGAUAUGAAUUGGAUCCAGCUAUGACGUGUCUCAACCUUCCAGUUGAGUUCACAGGCCUUUCAUUAUUCUUGCACCACUCCAUGUUUAGCCCUGAGUUCCCUAGCAACUUGAAACCACAGGCUCUUUAUGGAAAACUGAAGCUCUCCAUCAAGGGUUUUCUCCUGAUGGCAGUCUACCCUACUGUCAACAAUUAUUUUUAAGAGCAAAGAAGUCUCAAUCCAUGUGUAUAUUUAAAAAAUUUCUGAGAGGAUAAAAUAUGCACUCACAGGGACAAAAAAAUUCUGCAUAUGAAGAGCAAUAUAAUUUUUUUGGAACUAAACAUCUGGUUUCCUCCUUAAAGAACAGGAUCUCUGCUUUGUAUAACCACAGUGUCGUAGGCAGUGCUGAAGUUCAAAGACGUAUACUAUGGCUUUCUCUUCUACCCGCAGCAGUUGAUAUAAGAACAAAGAUUUUUAUUAACUAUAGAACUUUAAAAGAGGGCUAUGACCUUGAAAGAAGACCAGUAGGAGAUUUACUUGUCACCUUCUACCACUAAUAUCAAAACACACACACACACACACACAGGUUGAGAGGGGAAGGGCAGAGAAAAUAGGCCAUGACAUUAAGUAUGUUUCUUUGCUUUUGAAAUUUUCAAAAAUAAGUAUAUAUUGCAGUGUUACUAUUUUAAAGUGACAUAGUGCAUGUGAGAGUAUAUCAUGCCAGUAACCUAGUAUAUGCUUAGUAAAUUCUCAAGUCCUCCACUAUCUCUGAUAAAAAUGAAUUGGCUAUACUUCCAAAAGGAAAAAAUAAAGUUAAAAUGAGACACUUUAGAGCAAUAAGCAUCUGUGAUAGGAUUGGAAAAUCACCUCUAGUGUCCUGAGCAGCCAAAAUAUAAAAGCUUCUUAAGUCAAUGGCUAUUCUUAAGAGUUAAAACUUCUGAGAAUAUCUAAUCUAUAUAAUCAGAGAAUAGAACUUUUGGCAGUCUCCCAGAAAAACUAUAAAACUAGACAAAAAUUUCAAGAACUUUCAUUUCAGGGCUCUGAUAAAGACCAAAGAAAACAACCAGUUAAGAAGUAUUUAUUCCUGAGUUACUGCUGAACUUCUGUACAGGCAGUGGGAGUCUGUGGUGGUCUUGCUUCUCUCCCCAACCCCACUGGCUUGGUAGUGCUACCCAGACGGGGCUGACUGUGAAAUACAGCAGUUCACCUGGAGGGGGCUGGCCUGAUUGGGGCGAAAAGUGAGAAACCCACAUCCAAUGACAUUGUCAGUGAAAACAGCAAAUUUGGUCAGAAAUAAAUGGGUGAACUUCAUAUUCUGGAAAACUAUGCUUCAAAAAAUGAAGGCAAGUUAAAAAUAUUCCCAGUGAAAAAAGAAUCUUAGAGAAAUCAGUGCUAACAGGCCUGCCUUCAGGAAACACUAAAGGAAGUUCUUAAGGCUGAAAGGAGGUGACACCAGAUGGCAAUUCGAAUCCACAGGAAAAAAUGAGGAGUACCAGAAAUGAUAAAUAUGUGUAUAAAUAUAGGACUGAAUAAAUGUACUUUUUCUUCUUUUAGUUUCUUUAAUCUUAAUCUAAGAUUGCAUAAGGGAAUCAUUUUAACAUUUUCCUGUUGAGUUCAUAACAUGUAAAUACGUAAUAUUUAUGAGAAAGAGAAUAUGAGAUACAAUGAAAAUAUGAGAAAAUAAAGCUAUAUUGAAGCAAAAUUGCUGUACUGUACCAGAAUUGUCAUAUUAGCCAUAGAAGGAGAUUGUGAUAAUUUACAAAACCUAUUGUGUUUCCUAAAGUGAUCACAAAAGAAUAACACUAAUAAUUUAUAGUUAAAAAGUCAACAGAGGAAUUAAAAUGCUACACUAUUAACUUCUGUUUAAGAAAAAGAAAGGAACAGAAGACCAUAAAAGACAUGAGACAUAAAAUAAAUAAAAAUGGUGGAGUAAAUCCAAUCACAUUAACACCUACAUUAAAUAUAUAUGGGCUUAACACUCAAGAAGAUGACAGAGAUCAACAGACUGGAUAGAGGUCAAGGUACAACUAUGUGCUGUUAAUAAGAGAGAAACUUUGGAAUCAAAACCACAAAUAGAUUGAAAAUAGAAAGAUAAAAAAUGACAUACCAGCUCAGUUUAAAAAUGGGCCAAAGACCUUAACAUCACCAAAGAGGAUACACAGAUGGCAAAUAAGCACAUUAGAAGUUCCACAUCGUAUGUUAUCAGUGAAAUGCAAAUUAAAACAAUAAUAGAUAUCACUACACACUGAUUAGAAUUGUCAAAAUCUGGAACACUGGCAACACCAAAUGCUGGUGAGGGUAUAGAGCAAAAAGAACUCUUAUUGCUGGUGGGAAUUCAAAAUGGUACAGCUGCUUUGGAAAACAGCUUAUUGGUUUCUUACAAAAUGAGGUAUACUCUUACCAUAAGAUCCAGCAAUUGCAUUCCUUGGUAUUUAGGCAAAGGAGUUCAAAACCUCUCCACACAAAAACCCUGCAUAUAGAUGUUUAUAGCAGCUUUAUUCAUACUUGCCAAAACUUGGAAGCAAUCACAAUGUCCUUCAGUAGGCAAAUAGAUAAACUGGUACAUCCAAAUAAUGGAAUAUUAUUCAGCACUAAAAUAGUGAUCAAGUUGUGAGAAGACACGGAAGAACUUAAAUGCAUAGUACUAAGGGAAAGAAGCCAAUUUGAAAAGUCCAACUACAUGACAUUCUGGAAAAGGCAGAACUUGAAGACAGUAAAAAGACCAGUGGUUGCCAAGCAUUAGGGGAUGGGGAGAGAUUAAUAGGCAGAACACAGAGGACUUUCAGGGCAGUGAGAACACUAACUUACACUGUUGGAAGGGGCCCAAAUGGAAAGCCUGGGAAGACAUGCCAGCAGCCUCUAGGAGCAAAGACUGCCCUGGGCUGACAACAGCAAGGAAAUAGGUACCUCUGUCUUACAACCACAAGGAACUGAAUAUGGGCAAUGACCUGAAUGAUUUUGGAAGCAGAUUCUUCUGUAAAGCCGCCUCAAUUUCAGCCUUUUAAAACCCUGAGUAUUGGACUGAGUUGAAUCCACCUGAAUUUCUGACCUACAGAAACUGUGAUAUAAUAAAUUUUUGUUCUUUAA